rnacentral:tRNA from 1 species
GCACUCAUAGCUCAAUUGGAUAGAGUAUCAGACUUCGGAUCUGAGGGUUCCAGGUUCGACCCCUGGUGAGUGCGCCA